CGUGUUUUUGCUGAGGUGCCAAAACCGUGAAGCUGUGUUCCAUCACCAUCUCGUCGUUUCGUUUCUCUAUCAACCGUUUUCUCAAUCAGGUGUUCUUCCUUCCUUCUCUUACAACUUUUUCUCUCUUCUCCGUUUUACGUUUCACGAUCCCUUUUGCUUUUACUUGUUAUACGAUUUCUUGCAUUCGACAUGGAUUUACUAUUUCGUUAUCAGAUCCAUGUGCCUUUUGUUGAACAAGUUAAUCCUACUCGAUGAGACAAAUGAUUUUCUUACUGAACUCGAUCUUUUGACAGAUCCAAUCUAAUUAUACAAAUUCAUCGAUGUCCAACGUUAUAAUGAAAAAAGAUAGUAUCGAUGAAUUUGCUAUGAGUGUAGCUCGGACAUGAAAGUUUUAUUACCGUAAAAUCUGAUUUUGUUUACUAAUUAGUUGGGAGUGAAUUAGUGAUUGUUGCUAAGGAAGAAGGGUGAAGUCAAAUGUAUAAUGAACUAGCUGACUUUACAAUUUGGCUUGUGAAUGUUUUUGCACACGCAAAAAAUAAAAUAACGGAAAGAGUGAUAUUUGAAUGAAAAAUGUUUUCUUUAUCAUGUUCAUAUUUUGUUCGUCUCAAUGGUUUGUUUGGAUGGGUGAAAUAGAGGGGUGGAACGGAGUAGAAUGAGAGUCUUACCGUUACAUUCAAUCCCCUAUAUAAAAUUCUCGAAUAUACCAUAAGGCAAUUUCUGAUUAGAAUAGGGCAGAUGGUAUGCUUCCUUGACCUCUAUUGUUUUUUCGAGGUUUAGAAAGAACAAGAUAGGUUUAUUGUUGCUGUUUUCAUUAUAAAUUUAUAAUGAAACAAACUCUUCUAAAUUUAGAAAGCAAUGAUUUAUCCACCGUUCACUAGUUUUUAUGAUUUGUUAGUCCUUUUGAGUCAGAAUCUGAUAUGGGGCUGCAAAUCUCUCUUCUUCUACCAGAGUUGCUCCCAACCUCUCUUCUGUGCUCCCCUCUCUAAACAACUGAUUUCCAGUGACCUGCUAUCCUUUGCACUUGAAGGGACUAUGAUUAAACUGUUUAAAGUAAAGGAAAAACAGAGAGAACUUGCAGAAAAUGC
rnacentral:lncRNA from 1 species